rnacentral:rRNA from 1 species
UACGAAGGGUGCAAGCGUUACUCGGAAUUACUGGGCGUAAAGCGUGCGUAGGCGGUUUGUUAAGUCUGAUGUGAAAGCCCUGGGCUCAACCUGGGAAUGGCAUUGGAUACUGGCAACCUAGAAUGUGGUAGAGGGUGGCAGAAUUCCCGGUGUAGCAGUGAAAUGCGUAGAUAUCGGGAGGAACAUCCGUGGCGAAGGCGGCCACCUGGACCAACAUUGACGCUGAGGCACGAAAGCGUGGGGAGCAAACAGG